rnacentral:rRNA from 1 species
GCAACAGUUCAACAUAUAAAAUUUUCGAAAUCAUUAUUUUUCUUCAGCAAAGGAGUACCUAAGAAUGUAAGGGUGCAGAUUAAAGAAUUGCUUCACGUCCCAAAUGAAAAUCUGAACGAGAAAUAUUUGGGAAUGUCGUCUGACAUUGGUAACUCAAAAAAUGGGGCCUUCAAAUAUUUGAAGGACCGAUUAUGGAGCAAGGUACAAGGGUGGAUUGAAAACACUAUGUCUACAGCCGGUAAGGAAGUCCUGGUUAAAGCUGUAGCUCAGGCAGUGCCGGUUUAUUCUAUGUCCUGCUUCAAACUCCUUAGAGGCCUAUGUGAACACCUCAAUAUGCUGAUCAAAAAGUUCUAG